rnacentral:rRNA from 1 species
AACACGUGCAAGUCGAGGGGCAGCAUGGUCUUAGCUUGCUAAGGCCGAUGGCGACCGGCGCACGGGUGAGUAACACGUAUCCAACCUGCCUUAUACUCCCGGACAGCCUUCUGAAAGGAAGAUUAAUACGGGAUGGUACCACGAGCCAGCAUUUUCUCGUGAUUAAAGAACUUCGGUAUAAGAUGGGGAUGCGUUCCAUUAGAUAGUAGGCGGGGUAACGGCCCACCUAGUCGACGAUGGAUAGGGAUUCUGAGAGGAAGGUCCCCCACAUUGGAACUGAGACACGGUCCAAACUCCUACGGGAGGCAGCAGUGAGGAAUAUUGGUCAAUGGGCGCUAGCCUGAACCAGCCAAGUAGCGUGAAGGAUGACUGCCCUAUGGGUUGUAAACUUCUUUUAUAUGGGAAUAAAACAGGGUAUGCAUACCCUCUUGUAUGUACCAUAUGAAUAAGGAUCGGCUAACUCCGUGCCAGCAGCCGCGGUAAUACGGAGGAUCCGAGCGUUAUCCGGAUUUAUUGGGUUUAAAGGGAGCGUAGGCGGGUUGUUAAGUCAGUUGUGAAAGUUUGCGGCUCAACCGUAAAAUUGCAGUUGAUACUGGCAUCCUUGAGUACAGUAGAGGUAGGCGGAAUUCGUGGUGUAGCGGUGAAAUGCUUAGAUAU